rnacentral:tRNA from 1 species
AAGGGUAUAGUUAAAUAAUAAUAUUAGAUUGUAAAUCUAAAGUUUUUUGCCCUUG